rnacentral:rRNA from 1 species
CCCUCAGAUGUUCUGGGCUGCACGCGUGCUACACUGAAGUGUCAUAGCGAGUUAACCUAUCUUUAACGGGAAGGGUAAUCUUGAAUGCACUUCGUGAUGGGGAUAGAUCAUUGCAAUUAUUGAUCUUCAACGAGGAAUUCCUAGUAAGCGCAAGUCAUCAGCUUGCGCUGAUUACGUCACUGCUUUUUGUACACACCGCCCGUCGCUCCUACCGAUUGAGUGUUCCGGCGAACAAUUUGGACGAGCUUGGUUUACCUUGCUUGGAAGUCUUGUAAGCCAUAACACUUAGAGGAAGGAGAAGUCGUAACA